AUUGAACGCUGGCGGAAGGCCUAACACAUGCAAGUCGAGCGAGCGGCGGACGGGUGAGUAAUGUCUGGGAAACUGCCUGAUGGAGGGGGAUAACUACUGGAAACGGUAGCUAAUACCGCAUACCAUCAGAUGUGCCCAGAUGGGAUUAGCUAGUAGGUGGGGUAAUGGCUCACCUAGGCGACGAUCCCUAGCUGGUCUGCGAGGAUGACCAGCAACACUGGAACGGAGACACGGUCCAGACUCCGACGGGACGCAGCAGUGGGGAAUAGUGGACAAUGGUCGCAAUCCUGAUGUAGCCAUGCGGCGUGGAUGAAGAAGGCCUUCUGGUUGUAAAGUACUUUCGGCGGGGAGGCGUUACCCGCAGAAGAAGCACCGGCUAACUCCGUGCCAGCAGCCGCGGUAAUUC
rnacentral:rRNA from 1 species